AUCCUGAGUACGACGGAGCACGUGAAAUUCCGUCGGAAUCUGGGAGGACCAUCUCCUAAGGCUAAAUACUCUCUAGUGACCGAUAGUGAACCAGUACCGUGAGGGAAAGGUGAAAAGCACCCCGGAAGGGGAGUGAAAUAGAACCUGAAACCGUGUGCUUACAAGUAGUCAGAGCCCGUUAAUGGGUGAUGGCGUGCCUUUUGUAGAAUGAACCGGCGAGUUACGAUUUGAUGCAAGGUUAAGCAGUAAAUGUGGAGCCGUAGCGAAAGCGAGUCUGAAUAGGGCGUUUAGUAUUUGGUCGUAGACCCGAAACCAGGUGAUCUACCCUUGGUCAGGUUGAAGUUCAGGUAACACUGAAUGGAGGACCGAACCGACUUACGUUGAAAAGUGAGCGGAUGAACUGAGGGUAGCGGAGAAAUUCCAAUCGAACCUGGAGAUAGCUGGUUCUCUCCGAAAUAGCUUUAGGGCUAGCCUCAAGUGAUGAUUAUUGGAGGUAGAGCACUGUUUGGACGAGGGGCCCCUCUCGGGUUACCGAAUUCAGACAAACUCCGAAUGCCAAUUAAUUUAACUUGGGAGUC
rnacentral:rRNA from 1 species